rnacentral:rRNA from 1 species
CUUGCUUCUCUUGAGAGCGGCGGACGGGUGAGUAAUGCCUAGGAAUCUGCCUGGUAGUGGGGGAUAACGUUCGGAAACGGACGCUAAUACCGCAUACGUCCUACGGGAGAAAGCAGGGGACCUUCGGGCCUUGCGCUAUCAGAUGAGCCUAGGUCGGAUUAGCUAGUUGGUGGGGUAAUGGCUCACCAAGGCGACGAUCCGUAACUGGUCUGAGAGGAUGAUCAGUCACACUGGAACUGAGACACGGUCCAGACUCCUACGGGAGGCAGCAGUGGGGAAUAUUGGACAAUGGGCGAAAGCCUGAUCCAGCCAUGCCGCGUGUGUGAAGAAGGUCUUCGGAUUGUAAAGCACUUUAAGUUGGGAGGAAGGGUUGUAGAUUAAUACUCUGCAAUUUUGACGUUACCGACAGAAUAAGCACCGGCUAACUCUGUGCCAGCAGCCGCGGUAAUACAGAGGGUGCAAGCGUUAAUCGGAAUUACUGGGCGUAAAGCGCGCGUAGGUGGUUUGUUAAGUUGGAUGUGAAAUCCCCGGGGCUCAACCUGGGAACUGCAUUCAAAACUGACUGACUAGAGUAUGGUAGAGGGUGGUGGAAUUUCCUGUGU